CUGUGAACCCAGAAAGAGGAGGAAUUCUAGCUCCAAUAUAUUUUGGUGCUCUGACUGAUAGAACAUGUUUGAAGUGGUCCACCAAUAGCUGUGGGAAACGAGCAUCUUGUAGGAUAUAUCAUUCCACGUUAUUUGGCUCGGUUCCUGAAGAGGCAUUUUCACCAGGUAGAUGAUACUUCCUCAAAAGAAUUAGGAUGAU